UGCCCAGCAACUCCAAUCCCUACCUCCUCGCGGUACUGGCCGGGGUACGAGUAACCUUGGCGAAGAUCGGGUAACCAACCCCCGGUGGGAACUUUGGUCGUAUGCUGACAGGAAAGG
rnacentral:ribozyme from 1 species